rnacentral:lncRNA from 1 species
AGCGCUUGUGAGGUGGAAGCAAGGUGAUCAGGAGUUAGGGUCAGACUCAAUCACAUGAAUUUAAAACCAGCCCAGGCUACUAGACAACCUAUCUCAGAACACUAACAGUGAUACCAAACUUCUGCUAAAUGAAAAGACCAAGCUGCCAUGCAAAGACAUGCUACUGAUACAAAGCAUCCUUGAGACUCCAUGUCAGACCUUUGAGCCUGGCCCUCCUUCCUCUGAGCCCUCAUAAGGUGACUUGUGUUUGCUGGGGUAGGUCUCUCCAGGCUGGCUGGGCCUGGAGAGCUAGGACUGUGUUUGAUUAAACUAUAUAGGCACAGACCAGAACAAAUUGAGAGCAGGAGAGGGAGGCAGUUGUUGGUUUAAGGAUUCUUUUCUCUCCCGUAGAACUGGAAUGAACUUGCAAGCAGUGAUGUCCUGUGGAGGAAGUUGUGUCAGAAGAGAUGGCUCUUCUGUGACAUGGUUACCCUACAGCUCCUGGGCACAGAGACAUGGAAGCAGUUCUUCGUUUUCCGAACAUGGCAAGAACAUGCCAAGACCCGGGCAAAGCCAGAAGAUUUC